UGCUACUUGCAUCGGCAGCACUUAGACUAAAAUUAGAACGAUACAGAGAUCAGCGUAGCCCUUGCACAAGGAUGACACACAAAGAUCACUGAUAUAUAUAUAU